GAUGAACGCUGGCGGCGUGCCUAAUACAUGCAAGUCGAGCGAACAGAUAAUGAGCUUUCUCCUUUGCCGUUAGCGGCGGACGGGUGAGUAACACGUGCGUAACCUUCCUCUUUUUCUUGAAUAACUCCGGGAAACCGCUGCUAAUGCUGGAUCAUAUGUUCAACCGCUUGGUUCUACAGUUAUUCGCGGCUUUGCUGUCUCUUUUAGCUGGUCCCAGGUCGUAUUAGCUAGUUGGUGAGGUACCGGCUCACCAAGGCAACGAUACGUAGCCGACCUGAGAGGGUGAUCAGCCACACUGGAACUGAGACACGGUCCAGACUCCUACGGGAGGCAGCAGUAGGGAAUAUUGGGCAAUGGGCGAAAGCCUGACGGAGCAAAGCCGCGUGAGUGAAGAAGGACUUCGGAUCGUAAAACUCUGUUAUUAGGGAAGAAAAAAAGCGGAAGAAACUGUGCGCGUCUUGACGGUACCUAAAGAGAAAGCAACGGCUAACUACGUG
rnacentral:rRNA from 1 species